rnacentral:lncRNA from 1 species
CCAGCGCUGCCCAAACCCUCUCCGCGCGCUAUAUGCCCUUGUACCACCCUCUGCCCUCGUCCUCGUGCUGCCCCUGCCACGAGAGUGCACCUGCCGCCCCUGCCUGCACCGUUGCCAGAACCUGUCGCUGGCGUUCUUAUCCGCAGCUGCCGUAGGACCGACAGGAGUCGGCUAUAAAUAGACUCACCCGAGGUUGAUGCAUUCUCCGUCACCCUCCCCCGCCCCAUAGCAACCCAAGCACAGAGGUAAUUUGACCCCUGCGGUCAUCUUCCCCAUCUCCGGUAGCAUCGGCCGCCGCCGUCUCCGGUGGAAUUCACCGCAACCAGAGCCUCCCCCCUCGACCCUGUUGCUAUUAUUCCCCUCUGCGCGGUGCCGCGGACCUAUUCCCCCUCUCAAUCCCCUCUCAAGGACCCACGUGGGGGAAUCCCCCUCGGUGCCGAAGCCGCUGCUCGCCGGGGAGUUCGUCGUCGUCGACUCCCUGCCCCGUCGCAUCCGUGAAGGCCACCAGGGGCACCAGCUGGGUUCCCCGCACCCAUUCCCAUGGCCAGAACCCCUUGGGGCGCCGCCGUUCGCCGGUGAGAGCCGCCGGAAGCCGAGCUCCGACUGCUGAUGGAGGGAGAGAGAAGGGUGGACCGGUCAAACCUGACCAGGGGGCCAGGCGGGCCCAGUGUCAAUGACAGGCGACGUGCCAGCUCGUCUUAAGUGGAGGCAUGGAGAUGAGAGUACGUAUUCUCUAACCGAAGGCGUAUUCUAUCGAGAGCGUUUUCUUUAUAUUGAUUUUUAAAAAUAGACUUGACCAGUAGGUUUGAGUGGCUAUAACUUUUAAUGGGAAACUCCAAAUCAUUUGAUUCUUUUUCCUACUGACUUAGAAUUUUCUCUAGUUUAUUUUAAGAUUUAUUUUAAAAAGUUUAAAACAACUUUUGUGUGCCGUUUUGAUUAUGUGUGUUAAUUCAAAAAAUUUCAAAUUAGGAUUUUGAAAGGUGGCUACCUACUCCAAGAUGAUGGGGUACACAUGACCCUCCUCAAACCCUUAAGGCAAGCAUCUUGAAUCCAUAUUUGCAUAAGUUGUGUGAUGAUUGUGGUGGUCCUUAUAUUACAUUAUUAAGGUUAUGUGGAUAAUAAUCUCACGUGAAAUAAAGCUUGCAUUCUUCAUACUUGCUACUCAUAUUAUAUAUGGUAAAACAUGAUGGUGGCACAUGCUGGUUAUGAGAGGUCGUGGAAUAACCUAGUCACACGGAACGUGAUGGGUUAUGUCCUGGUCAUGACCUGAGCACGAUGAUGCCGGUAAAAUUUGGUAAACUCCAGUAUCGACCUAGGUCAAGUCUUGUCCGUUUCAUGCUUCUUAUCAUGCUACCACAGUUCCUUGGAUAAUGGGUUCGGUAUAGUCAGUUGUAGACCUAUUAUCAGUCACACACCAAUUAGAGGGGCCGGGAUGAAGGUAUCCACGACCGUGGCCUAAAUUCAGUCAUACAGUCAGGGGGCAUGGGUGUUUCCGGUCUGGGACCGGAAGGGAAUAUCCCUUCCCAGUGAGCGUGCGGUAUAAAUUUUUGAUCCCAUGCUAGUCGAGGUCGGAGCCUCCCUGUCUUAUGGUUUUGCCUUGGCAGCCUAGUCCGGGCUUGACGGAGGAAAAUCAGUGUGUGCUGAUUCUGAGUGUCCGCUUCUAAAAUACCGUACGUGGGAUUAGUCUUGUCUACUAUCGGAAACCGUGGGCUAUGGGUAAAGAGUACACCCUCUGCAGAGUCAAAACUAUUCAAGUAGUUGUGUUCCCAGUCAAGGACGUUGUUUGACGAGUCAAGUGUCGGUCCUAGAGUCGGUCUUUGGACUAUAAACGGUGAUAAUAAUAAUGGUUGUGGAAAAUCAUAUGAUGAUGUGGGACAUUAUCAUAUCAUGAGUAUUACUCUGGCUUAACCCCUAUGAAUAUGUUGUUGGAUAUCCCUGGGACGGUUCAACCUCCUGGAUAUUUAAUAUUUAUUAUUGUUUCAUAUAAUCCCUUUAUGUGGUGUCAUUGAGACGCCGGACUCUGGCAUGCUUAUUAUCAUUUCUUAUAAGCCCUUUAUGUGGUUUCGCUCAGACGGCCGACUAUGGCAUGCUUAUUAUCAUUUCUUAUAAGCCCUUUAUGUGGUGUCGCUAAGACGUCCGACUGUGGCAUGCUUAUUAUCAUUUCUUAUAAGCCCUUUAUGUGGUGUCGCUCAGAUGCCCGACUGUGGCAUGCUUAUCAUCAUUUCUUAUAAGCCCUUUAUGUUGUGUCGCUCAGACGCCCGACUGUGGCAUGUUUAUUAUCUUUUCUUUUAAGCCCCUUUUUGUGGUGUCGCUCAAACGCCCGACUAUGGCAUGCUUAUAUCUUUCUUUUAAGCCCCUUUCUAUGGUGUCGCUCAGACGCCCGACUGUGGCAUGCAUAUUAUUACUUUUCAGCAUUUUCAUCCCUUGCUUGUUUAUAAAUCAUUGGUGGAAACAUUGCAAAGUUCAUGAAUGCAUCCAUGAAUUAAACUAUAAUGGCAAGAUAUUAUUGCUAGGAGGAUUUGCAUGCAUCUCACCCGCUUAACGUGUUUGUUUUCUUGAUGUUUGCGAGUACAUUCAAAGUACUCACUGGCUUGUCCCUGGCUAUUGUCUUGGCCAGAUUGCGUUUGGAGAGGAGCACGAUGUCGUCAACCCCGAAACCUAGGAAUCAAGGAUAUCAUCCUUGUGAGAUAGGAAUUUACCCAGGUCAGCUGUUCCUGUGGGAAUGGAGUCCCAUGGGCACUAGAGAUUCCUCGAGACGCUUCCGCCGUCAACCUCAGACUUUUGUUCAACCAAGUAGACCUUCAUGGUCUUGUAACACAAAUUUUGUAUUUUCCUUGGAUAUUCUGUAUGAAGUAAGUGUCUACCAG